rnacentral:rRNA from 1 species
UACAGAGGUCCCAAGCGUUGUUCGGAUUCAUUGGGCGUAAAGGGUGUGUAGGUGGCGCCGUAAGUCGGGUGUGAAAUUUCGAGGCUUAACCUCGAAACUGCAUUCGAUACUGCGGUGCUUGAGGACUGGAGAGGAGACUGGAAUUCCUGGUGUAGCGGUGAAAUGCGUUGAUAUCGGAAGGAACGCCGGUGGCGAAAGCGGUCCGCUGGCCCUCUUCUGACGCUGAGGCGCGAAAGCCAGGGGAGCAAACGGG